rnacentral:rRNA from 1 species
GAGUUUGAUCAUGGCUCAGAAUGAACGCUGGCGGCGUGCCUAACACAUGCAAGUCGAGCGCGAAAGCGACUUCGGUCGUUAGUAGAGCGGCGAACGGGUGAGUAACACGUGGAUAACCUGCCUGGAAGUGGGGAAUAACUCAGGGAAACUUGAGCUAAUACCGCAUACGUUCCCUUCGUGCGAGCGAAGUGAACAAAGAUGGCCUCUUCCUGAAAGCUGUCGCUUCCAGAGGGAUCCGCGCCUGAUUAGCUAGUUGGUGAGGUAAUGGCUCACCAAGGCGACGAUCAGUAGCCGGCCUGAGAGGGUGAUCGGCCACACUGGAACUGAGACACGGUCCAGGCUCCUACGGGAGGCAGCAGUGGGGAAUAUUGGACAAUGGGCGAAAGCCUGAUCCAGCAACGCCGCGUGGAGGAUGAAGGCCCUCGGGUUGUAAACUCCUGUCAGGUGGGACGAAAAGAUGUCGGCAAAUAACCGGCAUCCUUGACGGUACCACCGGAGGAAGCCCCGGCUAACUCCGUGCCAGCAGCCGCGGUAAUACGGAGGGGGCAAGCGUUAUUCGGAAUCAUUGGGCGUAAAGGGCGCGUAGGCGGCUUGGCAAGUCAGGGGUGAAAUCCCUCGGCUCAACCGAGGAACUGCCUCUGAAACUGUCUGGCUUGAGGCCGGGAGAGGGUAGUGGAAUUCCCAGUGUAGCGGUGAAAUGCGUAGAUAUUGGGAGGAACACCGGUGGCGAAGGCGGCUACCUGGACCGGUUCUGACGCUGAGGCGCGAAAGUGUGGGGGGCAAACAGGAUUAGAUACCCUGGUAGUCCACACUGUAAACGAUGAGCACUCGGUGCCGCGGGUGUCGACCCCUGCGGUGCCUUAGGAAACCCGUUAAGUGCUCCGCCUGGGGAGUACGGUCGCAAGGCUGAAACUCA